rnacentral:sRNA from 1 species
AGUAGAUUGGGAUACUCUUCAAAUUUUUUAUGAAAUGCCGAGUAAAACGCUGCUCGCAAUGGCGGGCCUCGACCGCAAGGUGCCUAAUAAGCCAGAGGAUUACAAAGCGUGUGGCGUCCUCAAAUCCUGUAUUUAGUCGGAGUUUCAUCACAUCCUUUGGUGUGGCUUCUU